GCCUUUUCGAGGGAAGAGCUUCUACUUUUUCUGCUUCGCCCCGGCAACCUGCUAGCAGCCCUUGCAAAAGCACAACAUUUAGGACUUCUGCCCCCUCGGCUUUAUUCGUCUUCCCACUUUUGCAUUUCAGUGUUAUUUCUACCUCUGGGCACACAGACCCAGAUGAGGAAAUGGGAGCCAAGAAGAAUAUUUUUUCCCAAGGUUAUUCAGCUGGACAGAAGCCAGAAACCUUCACUCUGCAGCUCCCUUGUCCAGAUGCUGAAGCCAGUCUAUUUGGCUUCUAAUCCCUGCUGGUCAGUGACCAGCUGCGAGACCAGGCUGGCUUCACAUACUGAAAACUGUCAUCACGUGGACAUUCGAUAUCCCAAUCCCUGCCUCUCUCGGUCCCGGGAUCAUCUUUAACAUCACCAACAAUGGUACAGCACUGGACAGCCGCUUGCCACACACCAUCAACUUAGC